CCUACGGGUGGCAGCAGUCGAGAAUCAUUCACAAUGGGGGAAACCCUGAUGGCGCGACGCCGCGUGGGGGAAUGAAGGUCUGCGGAUUGUAAACCCCUGUCAUGUGGGAGCAAAUUAAAAAGAUAGUACCACAAGAGGAAAAGACGGCUAACUCUGUGCCAGCAGCCGCGGUAAUACAGAGGUCUCAAGCGUUGUUCGGAAUCACUGGGCGUAAAGGGUGCGUCGGCUGUUUCGUAAGUCGUGUGUGAAAGGCGCGGGCUCAACCCGCGGACGGCACUUGAUACGGCGAGCCUAGGGUAAUUGCGUGGCAACCGGAAUUCUCGGUGUAGCCGU
rnacentral:rRNA from 1 species